AGUUAUACUGCGAAACUGCGAAUGGCUCAUUAAAUCAGUUAUCGUUUAUUUGAUAGUACCUUACUACUUGGAUAACCGUGGUAAUUCUAGAGCUAAUACAUGCUAAAAACCCCGACUCACGAAGGGGUGUAUUUAUUAGAUUAAAAACCAAUGCCCUUCGGGGCUCUUUGGUGAUUCAUAAUAACUUCUCGAAUCGCAUGGCCUUGCGCCGGCGAUGGUUCAUUCAAAUUUCUGCCCUAUCAACUUUCGAUGGCAGGGUCUUGGCCUGCCAUGGUUACAACGGGUAACGGAGGGUUAGGGCUCGACCCCGGAGAAGGAGCCUGAGAAACGGCUACUACAUCCAAGGAAGGCAGCAGGCGCGCAAAUUACCCAAUCCCGAUACGGGGAGGUAGUGACAAUAAAUACUGAUACAGGGCUCUUUUGGGUCUUGUAAUUGGAAUGAGUACAAUUUAAAUCCCUUAACGAGGAACAAUUGGAGGGCAAGUCUGGUGCCAGCAGCCGCGGUAAUUCCAGCUCCAAUAGCGUAUAUUAAAGUUGUUGCAGUUAAAAAGCUCGUAGUUGAACCUUGGGCCUGGCUGGCCGGUCCGCCUCACCGCGUGCACUGGUUCGGCCGGGCCUUUCCCUCUGGGGAACCCUAUGCUCUUUAUUGGGCGUAGCGGGGAACCAGGACUUUUACUGUGAAAAAAUUAGAGUGUUCAAAGCAGGCCUAUGCUCGAAUACAUCAGCAUGGAAUAAUAGAAUAGGACGUGUGGUUCUAUUUUGUUGGUUUCUAGGACCGCCGUAAUGAUUAAUAGGGACAGUCGGGGGCAUCAGUAUUCAAUUGUCAGAGGUGAAAUUCUUGGAUUUAUUGAAGACUAACUACUGCGAAAGCAUUUGCCAAGGAUGUUUUCAUUAAUCAGGAACGAAAGUUAGGGGAUCGAAGACGAUCAGAUACCGUCGUAGUCUUAACCAUAAACUAUGCCGACUAGGGAUCGGACGAUGUUAUUUUUUUGACUCGUUCGGCACCUUACGAGAAAUCAAAGUCUUUGGG
rnacentral:rRNA from 1 species